UGGACAUUAGUUUAACAAAAACAACUAAUUUCGACUUAGUAAAUUCAAAAACAUUUGAAUGCCCAU
rnacentral:tRNA from 1 species